ensembl:lncRNA
GCGAGGGGGCGGGGGGAGCUGCUGCCUGCGAGUGCGCUGUUGGAGAAACGGAGCCAGUAGUGAUGGUAAAUUUGAUUCUUUUUACUGAAUCGAGUUUUAAUGAGUCACUCACCAAAGUGAAUCGGUUUUUGAGUCAUUUGAUUCACUGAGUCAGUCGACCAGAGAGUUCAAAAAAUGUACAUUUUCACUCAAACUUAAUUUGUUUCUCUUUUCAUCUAAAUCCUACUGCUAAGAUGAAUGAUUCUAAAAGAAAACAACUAUUUUAUAGAGCAAAAAAGAGCAAAAACAUUUCUAAAAUUAAGCAAUUUCCUAUCAAAAUUGCUUAAUAAACAUUUAUUUAUUUUUAUUUUAUUUUAUUUUAUUUUAUUUUAAUAUAUUUUUAUUUUUUAUUUUAUUAGUAUUUUCCUUAAAUGUGUUAAAUAUAUAUUUUCUCAUCUAAAUGUCCACUGAGCUGUGAGCCAGGGGGCGGUAAUGUGCCUUAACAUUGGUUGCCAACCAAGAAGAAGAAGAAGCUGUGAGCCAGGAGGGAGGGAGGGGGUGAGUGAGUGAGUGAGUGAUUCGUUCGCUCUAUGAUUCAGCAUAGGAGGGAGGGGGUGAGCGAGUCCUGAGUGAUUCGCUUACGCUUACGAUUCAGCACAGGAAGGGAGGGUGUGAGUAGCUCAAAUGUGCUGUUAGCAUGUUAGCAGAGCGAUGCUACUGUGAACCGAGCUAUUUUCUUGAUGUGAGCUUCUACUCAGGGUUUUUUCUUCCAGUUCAGAGCAGAAUUUUUUUUGUUACGAUACUGGAUGUUUUUUUUUUCUCCACAAUUUUAAUUAUAAGCUAGAUACAUUGCUGCUAACAGCAACAGGGAUGACCCAGUGAGUCACUUGGGCUUGUGAAUCAUGAUUCAUGAGCAGUUAAAGUGAUGCUCGAGUAUUGAACGAUUCGUUCAUGAUUCGCGCAUCACUGGGAGCCAGGCAGACAGAGGAGAACUGAAGUUCCACCAGGUACCAAAGCAAAUCAUUCGUACUGUACAAAUAAUGUAAAUAUGAUGGUGUAUCACGAAAGAUUGAUAUCAAACUGAUCACUUGACCCAUA